rnacentral:rRNA from 1 species
UACAGAGGUCCCAAGCGUUGUUCGGAUUCACUGGGCGUAAAGGGUGCGUAGGCGGUCGGGUAAGUCUGAUGUGAAAUCUCACAGCUUAACUGUGAAACUGCAUUGGAUACUAUCCGGCUCGAGGAAUGGAGGGGAGACUGGAAUACUUGGUGUAGCAGUGAAAUGCGUAGAUAUCAAGUGGAACACCAGUGGCGAAAGCGGCGCACUGGACCACAACUGACGCUGAGGCGCGAAAGCUAGGGGAGCAAACAGG